rnacentral:rRNA from 1 species
UCAAGCGAACAAGGGCGCAGGGCGAAUGCCUUGGCACUGGGAGCCGAUGAAAGACGUGAUAAGCUGCGAUAAGCUUCGGGGAGCUGCAAAUAAGCAUUGAUCCGGAGAUUUCUGAAUGAGGAAACUCACUCAGGUUCAUACCUGAGUACGUUGUACUGAAAUUCAAAAUAGGUACAUCGGGGGAACCGCCUGAACUGAAACAUCUAAGUAGGGCGAGGAAGAGACAUCAAACGAGAUUCCGUUAGUAGUGGCGAGCGAACGCGGAAGAGGGCAAACCGGAAGGAGAAAUCCUUCCGGGGUAUGGACCGCUUUUAGGACUUUAGCUGUUAAUCGAAUGGCAUGGGAAGGCCAACCAAAGAGUGUGAGAGUCACGUAGAUGAAAACGGCGAGAGCUGCGCGAGUUCCAGAGUACGGCCAGACACGUGAAACCUGGUCGGAAGAUGGGGGGACCACCCUCCAACCCUAAAUACUACCCAGUGACCGAUAGCGUAUAGUACUGUGAAGGAAAGGUGAAAAGCACCCCGGGAGGGGAGUGAAAAAGAACCUGAAACCCUGUGCCUACAAGCACCUAGAGCACGUCAAUGUGUGAUAGGGUACUUUUUGUAGAACGGUCCGGCGAGCGAUUGUAUGCAGCAAGGUUAAGGACUUAAGGUCUGGAGCCGAAGCGAAAGCGAGUUUGAAAAGGGCGUUAAGUUGCAUACAAUGGGCCCGAAACCGGGUGACCUACCCAUGGUCAGGUUGAAGUGGAAGUAAAAUUCCAUGGAGGACCGAACCGACCUCCGUUGAAAAGGCGGCGGAUGAACUGUGGGUAGCGGAGAAAUUCCAAUCGAACCCGGAGAUAGCUGGUUCUCCCCGAAAUAGUUUUAGGACUAGCCUCAAGUUAGAUACCUGGAGGUAAAGCACUGAAUAGCCUAGCGGCCGAGAGGUUAGCGAAGCUUAUCAAACUCAGAAUGCCAGAGUAUUGAUGCUUGGGAGUCAGACAGUGUCAGAUAAAUGUCAUUGUCAAAAGGGAAACAGCCCAGAUCUACAGCUAAGGUCCCAAAGUCAGGUUAAGUGGAAAACGAUGUGAAGAUACGCAGACAACCAGGAUGUUGGCUCAGAAGCAGCCACUCAUUCAAAGAGUGCGUAAUAGCUCACUGGUCGAGCGUCUUUGCGCGGAGAAUUUAACGGGGCUAAACCUGACACCGAAGCUUAGGCAAUACAGCAAUGUAUUGGGUAGGGGAGCGUUGUAUACGCGGUGAAACAGUAGCGCAAGCGGCUGUGGAGUGUAUAGAAGUGAGAAUGCCGGAAUGAGUAGCGCGAAUGCAGUGAGAAUCUGCAUGGCCGAAAGCCUCAGGUUUCUGGAGGAAGGUUCGUCCGCUCCAGGUUAGUCGGGAGCUAAGGUGAGGCCUAACGGCGUAGCCGAUGCACAGACGGUAGAGAUUCCGUCACCACCAAAAGAGUUAAGCACAGGGACACAUUUGAAGUCUCAGAGCCGGGUGUUGGUUCCGGUAGAGAUCGAGGGAAAUUAGUACCGAAGUCUGGGAUGGAAGAUGGCGAGAAAAGCUGUGUGUAUUUCUGAGGUGCCCGUACCGCAAACCGACACAGGUAGGUAGGAAGAAGAUUCUAAGGCCAACGGGAGAAGGGUUGUUAAGGAACUCGGCAAAUUGACCCCGUAACUUCGGGAGAAGGGGUGCUCCAGAGAUGGAGCCGCAGAGAAUCGGCCCAAGCAACUGUUUACCAAAAACACAGGUUUGUGCUAAAUCGAAAGAUGACGUAUACGAGCUGACGCCUGCCCGGUGCUGGAAGGUUAAGAGGAGAUGUGCAAGCAUUGAAUCGAAGCCCCAGUGAACGGCGGCCGUAACUAUAACGGUCCUAAGGUAGCGAAAUUCCUUGUCAGGUAAGUUCUGACCCGCACGAAAGGCGUAAUGAUUUGGGCACUGUCUCAACAGCCCGCCCGGCGAAAUUGUAGUACCGGUGAAGAUGCCGGUUACCCGCGACAAGACGGAAAGACCCCAUGGAGCUUUACUGUAGCCUAAUAUUGGGUUUCGAUGUUGCAUGCACAGGAUAGAUGGGACACAGGGAAACAAUCGCUUUGGCGGUUGCGGAGUGGCCGUUGGGAUACCAUCCUUGCGAUAUUGGAAUUCUAACCUGCGGCUCUGAAUCGAGUCGGGGGACAUUGUUAGGUGGGCAGUUUGACUGGGGCGGUCGCCUCCUAAAGAGUAACGGAGGCGUUCAAAGGUUC